GGGGGUAUAGCUCAGUUGGGAGAGCACCUGCCUUGCACGCAGGGGGUCAGGGGUUCGAAUCCCCUUACCUCCACCA
rnacentral:tRNA from 2 species